rnacentral:rRNA from 1 species
UGGGGAAUCUUGGACAAUGGGGGCAACCCUGAUCCAGCCAUGCCGCGUGAGUGAUGAAGGCCUUAGGGUCGUAAAGCUCUUUCGCCUGUGAAGAUAAUGACGGUAGCAGGUAAAGAAACCCCGGCUAACUCCGUGCCAGCAGCCGCGGUAAUACGGAGGGGGUUAGCGUUGUUCGGAAUUACUGGGCGUAAAGCGCACGUAGGCGGAUCGGAAAGUUGGGGGUGAAAUCCCGGGGGCUCAACCCCGGAACUGCCUCCAAAACUAUCGGUCUAGAGUUCGAGAGAGGUGAGUGGAAUUCCGAGUGUAGAGGUGAAAUUCGUAGAUAUUCGGAGGAACACCAGUGGCGAAGGCGGCUCACUGGCUCGAUACUGACGCUGAGGUGCGAAAGUGUGGGGAGCAAACAGGAUUAGAUACCCUGGUAGUCCACGCCGUAAACGAUGAGUGCUAGUCGUCGGCAGGCAUGCCUGUCGGUGACGCAGCUAACGCAUUAAGCACUCCGCCUGGGGAGUACGGCCGCAAGGUUAAAACUCAAAUGAA